CCCUUGGCAGCUUAGCUGGUAAAGAAUCUGCCUGCAAUGCAGGAGACCCUGGUUCAAUUCCCGGAUCAGGGA
rfam:TPA: Bos taurus chromosome 5, whole genome shotgun sequence.